rnacentral:lncRNA from 1 species
AUGGGGUUUGCUGCCUUCCCAGGUGGCCGUAGCCAGCAGAGCUCAUGGCAUUCCCUGCUCCCGCGCCGCGCGGAGGGCACUGAGCAGGAUGCACCGGGGCUUUCCACCUGCAGUGCUGCAUGGGCAGAGCGGGGCCUCGGGCCGGUGCGGAGGGCAGGGUGGCACGUGUCUGCACCCCGGCCAGCGCCUCCAGAGCACCGCGAUCAAUCUGUCCCCAGACACGCUGCUCGGGAAAUGUCACGAAAAUGCCACGGAGCGCGGGCUGGCUGGUGGCGCUCCCCCAAGCUGGCAGAGCCGAUGGAUUUGCUGUCUGAGAUCAAGGCCGCUGAUUUCCCGGCGCGCACCAGGCCCUCCCACAGGACGGACUGCUCAGGCUCCGAAAUGCCACCCAAGGGGCUGUCAGAGCUGUUCGAGCUGUCGUCUCGCACGACUUUUCCAGUCCCAGCUGUCCUCUGGCCAGCUUGGAGAGGCUUCAAGUGGCAGUGCCUCUUGGCAGCUUGCAUGUGUCAACAGGGCUCUCCUGGGGUCUUGAGCAGAAAAAGCCGAGAAAAAGCCAAGCGCAAAGUGUCGGUGAAAGCCCUGCUGCCUGCUGAUGCUCCACUCUCAGCCCUCCUAAGUGCCGCCAGCUCCCCCCUUGAACACCCCUUCCUCCCGGUGGGAGCUGCAACACACACCUCCAGAGCAGGGUCUGCUGUGGGCAAAGCCCCAUCCUUCGGUAUCCUUGGCCUUUGUGGGGGCCAGGUGGGAGCUGCUGCAGAGCCCCGCUCUGUGCUGCUGAGCGAGGACGCGUGUGGGGCUGCAGUAACUCGGCCCCUUUGCAUUUCAGGGCCUUCCCGGCUGCCCGCUGCUUGCAGCCUCGCUCCGGAGGAUGUGAACGUGGCAGAGAGCAUCGCUACCAGUCUGGUUUCUUCUCUCUUCAUCUCCCAUUGCUCACUGUCUUGGCGAGGGGACGGUGCCCUGGCAGCAACGCGGGGCCGGACUUUCCCACUCCCUGCAUCCUCAUCGCUCGCUGCCAGGGGCUGCCGAGGGUGA